rnacentral:rRNA from 1 species
AUUGAACGCUGGCGGCAUGUCUUACACAUGCAAGUCGAACGGUAACAGGUCUUCGGAUGCUGACGAGUGGCGAACGGGUGAGUAAUACAUCGGAACGUGCCCAGACGUGGGGGAUAACGAGGCGAAAGCUUUGCUAAUACCGCAUACGAUCUAAGGAUGAAAGCAGGGGACCGCAAGGCCUUGCGCGUUUGGAGCGGCCGAUGGCAGAUUAGGUAGUUGGUGGGAUAAAAGCUUACCAAGCCGACGAUCUGUAGCUGGUCUGAGAGGACGACCAGCCACACUGGGACUGAGACACGGCCCAGACUCCUACGGGAGGCAGCAGUGGGGAAUUUUGGACAAUGGGCGAAAGCCUGAUCCAGCAAUGCCGCGUGCAGGAUGAAGGCCUUCGGGUUGUAAACUGCUUUUGUACGGAACGAAAAGGCUCUGGCUAAUACCUGGGGCACAUGACGGUACCGUAAGAAUAAGCACCGGCUAACUACGUG